rnacentral:rRNA from 1 species
UACGUAGGAGGCGAGCGUUGUCCGGAGUUACUGGGCGUAAAGGGUGCGCAGGCGGUCGCGCGCGUGGGGGGUGAAAUCUCCUGGCUCAACUGGGAGGGGGCCUGCCAGACGGCGCGACUUGAGGCUCGGAGGGGGGCGUGGAAUUCCGGGUGGAGCGGUGAAAUGCGUAGAGAUCCGGAGGAACACCGGUGGCGAAGGCGGUUCUCUGGGCAUUACCUGACGCUGAGGAGCGAAAGUGUGGGGAGCGAACAGG